CUCAUAGCGUAUAUUUAAGUUGUUGCAGUUAAAAAGCUCGUAGUCGGAUUUUGGCUGAGAACGGUCGGUCCGCCGUUAGGUGUGCACUGACUGGUCUCAGCUUCCUGGUGAGGAGGUGUGCUUCAUCGCCACUUAGUCACCGUGGUUACUUUGAAAAAAUUAGAGUGUUCAAAGCGGGCUUACGCUUGAAUAUAUUAGCAUGGAAUAACACCAUAGGACUCCUGUCCUAUUUCGUUGGUCUCGGGACGGGAGUAAUGAUUAAGAGGAACAGUUGGGGGCAUUCGUAUUUCAUUGUCAGAGGUGAAAUUCUUGGAUUUAUGAAAGACGAACUUCUGCGAAAGCAUUUGCCAAGGAUGUUUUCAUUGAUCAAGAACGAAAGUUGGGGGCUCGAAGAUGAUUAGAUACCAUCCUAGUCUCAACCAUAAACGAUGCCGACUAGGGAUUGGCGGAUGUUAAUUGAUGACUUCGCCAGCACCUUAUGAGAAAUCAAAGUUUUUGGGUUCCGGGGGGAAUAUGGUCGCAAGGCUGGAACUUAAAGGAAUUGACGGAAGGGCACCACCAGGCGUGGAGCCUGCGGCUUAAUUUGACUCAACACGGGGAAACUUACCAGGUCCAGACAUAGUAAGGAUUGACAGAUUGAGAGCUCUUUCUUGAUUCUAUGGGUGGUGGUGCAUGGC
rnacentral:rRNA from 1 species